GCCCUUGUAGCUCAACGGACAGAGCAGUCCCGUCCUAAGGGAAAGGUUGGAGGUUCAAUUCCUCUCAAGGGCG
rnacentral:tRNA from 1 species